GUGCAGAAAAACAUGUAAUAAUGCAUCAGGAGAGAACAUCUGUCAUGGAAGACCAAGAGCAUGCCUCAGAAGAGCAGAGGCAGCACAGUGCUAGAAAAAAUAAGCGGCCAUUUAUUGAUGCUAUAAGAGCAUGCUUUUGUGCAUGUUUCACCAAAAAAUGGAGCUCUUCUUCCCACUACAAGAAAUAGAAGAGAAAACAUAAAAAAGUGAUGAACUUGGACAAGCCUACGACAAUUGCCUGACAACUUCUCCGACCAUCCACAAUAAGACAACUCAGGAGAAAAUCUGUCUCUUCUCCAAUAAUUGCUUCAAAAAAAGCACAUUUUUAUUUUAUGUUUUAGAAUAAUAUAGUAUUAUAUUACAUAAUCUUCAGUGUUAUUUUCACCUAUUUAUUUUGUUUUAUUAUGUUAUACUAUAUUACACUAUUAUAUUAUCUUGUUUUUAUUUCCAUA